rnacentral:rRNA from 1 species
UAACGAUACGGGACUCAUCCGAGGCCCCGUAAUCGGAAUGAGUACACUUUAAAUCCUUUAACAAGGAUCCAUUGGAGGGCAAGUCUAGUGCCAGCAGCCGCGGUAAUUCUAGCUCCAAUAGCGUAUAUUAAAGCUGUUGCGGUUAAAAAGCUCGUAGUUGGUUCUGUGUUCCACGCUGUCGGUUCACCGCAUGUCUGUGUAACUGACAUGUCGUGGGACGUCCUGCCGGUGGUAGUUAAACGCCAGGUGCUCAAGUCUUGGACUUGUUCCAUUGAUUUUGAGCCAGCUGGUUAGUUUAAAUUACCGAGCGCACUUACCCGCCCUGGUGCUCUUUACUGAGUGUCGAGGAGGGCCGGCACAUUUACUGUGCACAAAUUAGAGUGCUCAAGGCAGGCAAAAUUACGCCUAAAUAGUGGUGCAUGGAAUAAUAGAAUAAGACUUUGGUUUUAUUUUGUUGGUUUUUUGAACCUAAGGUAAUGAUCAAUAUGGACGGUCGGGGGCAUUCGUAUUGCGACGUUAGAGGUGAAAUUCUUGGAUCGUCGCAAGACGCACAAGAGCGAAAGCAUUUGCCAAGUACGUCCUAAUUGAUCAAGAACGAAAGUUAGAGGCUCGAAGGCGAUCAGAUACCGCCCUAGUUCUAACCAUAAACGAUGUCAGCCAGCGAUCCGUCGGAGUUUAUAUCAUGACUCGACGGGCAGCUUCCGGGAAACCAAAGCUUUUGGGUUCCGGGGGAAGUAUGGUUGCAAAGCUGAAACUUAAAGGAAUUGACGGAAGGGCACCACCAGGAGUGGAGCUUGCGGCUUAAUUUGACUCAACACGGGAAAUCCCACCAGGCCCAGACAUUGGAAGGAUUGACAGAUUGAUAGCUCUUUCUUAAUUCAGUGGGGAGUGGUGCA